rnacentral:rRNA from 1 species
GACGAACGCUGGCGGCGUGCCUAAUACAUGCAAGUCGAGCGGACUGGAGGAGCUUGCUCCCGAAGGUCAGCGGCGGACGGGUGAGUAACACGUGGGUAACCUGCCUGGUAGACUGGGAUAACGCUUGGAAACGAGUGCUAAUACCGGAUAAUCUCCUGAAUCGCAUGGUUCAAGAGUAAAAGGAGCUUUCGCUUCACUGCCAGAUGGACCCGCGGCGCAUUAGCUAGUUGGUGAGGUAACGGCUCACCAAGGCGACGAUGCGUAGCCGACCUGAGAGGGUGACCGGCCACACUGGGACUGAGACACGGCCCAG